rnacentral:rRNA from 1 species
AACGUAGGGGGCGAGCGUUAUCCGGAAUUACUGGGCUUAAAGGGUGCGUAGGCUGUGCGGAAAGUUAGGUGUGAAAUCCCCCGGCUCAACCGGGGAAUUGCGCUUAAAACUACCGUGCUAGAGGAAUACAGAGGUGAGCGGAACUUCGGGUGGAGCGGUGAAAUGCGUUGAUAUCGGAAGGAACAUCAGUGGCGAAAGCGACUGCCUGGCCCAAUACUGACACUCAUGUGCGAAAGCGUGGGGAGCAAACAGG